rnacentral:misc_RNA from 1 species
AAUGUGCUCUGGAGAUUUAAAUUUUCCCAGCUUAAGGGAUCUUCAGAUGAUGGGAAAACUCGAGUAAAGCUGCUGUUUCAGAAUCUGGACACCAAACAGAUUGAGAUGAAGGAACUCGAGUUCCAGGACCUGAGGGCUGUCCUGCACUGCAUCCACUCCUUCAUAGCAGCCAAGGUGGCCUCCGUGGACCCCGGCUUCAUGGACAGUCAGAGUCUUG